CUUGUGUGUUGUGAGAUCUUUUGGAAAAGGGUUCUUAAAAAAGUCCUAGUAGAGGUCAUGAAGGCAAAUAAGCAUUGGUGCAACUAGUUCUUGUGAAAGACAGACGGCAGCUAGCUUGCGAAGAAGGCUGCAGCACCAUGAUGAGUUGAGAAGGACCCUAAUCAGUUCCGUGUGGAUCACUGUUAGAGGGCUUCUACUUUGGAGUCUCAUGGAGGUCUCAAAGUUACCAGAUCAUGGUCUUCUCGUUGGCGGCUAACUCCUUGUCCAUUCCAUGGGCAUCCAAUCAACUAUGACCAAGCCAAAGCCCCACCAGAGAGAGGGUGGUUGAUGUUCGAUAAAUGAUCUCCCUUGAGCUUUAUGCUGCUAUAGAAUAAAUGAUCUCCCUUGAGCUAUGAUAGAGCUCGAGAAGUUGGUGGUGAAGGAGAUUAGGAAGGAGAAGGUUGUGUUGGCUGUGGAGUACACCACCACCUAGAAAGUCAAGGUCUUAACUGAGGCUACUGAGGCCUCCAUGUGGGCUUACAACCUCGGCUUUGAUGAAUGUAUAUUCAUGGUUCAGUGGCUUUAUUCCAUAGUCAAUGCUGACUCUCAGAUUCCUCGAGAGGAUGAGGAUGGGAUGGAGCUCAACAGGGCUCAAGUUGUUGACCACGUUUCUACACAAGCUGAAGAUGUUGUCGCCCCCGAAGUUUAAGCUUACCUUUUUCAUUAUUUAUUUCUUUCUUUGGUUGUGUACAGAUUAGCUUUGUGCUUAUCGUGCAAGUGUUGUAGUCAGCCAUGCUGACCUUUUCCUUAAAUUAAUGAAAUAUAUUUUGUCU